rnacentral:tRNA from 1 species
GCCUGGGUGGCUCAGUCGGUUAAGCGUCUGACUUCAGCUCAGGUCACGAUCUCGCGGUCCGUGAGUUCGAACCCCACGUCGGGCU